rnacentral:rRNA from 1 species
UAGGGAAUCUUCGGCAAUGGACGAAAGUCUGACCGAGCAACGCCGCGUGAGUGAAGAAGGUUUUCGGAUCGUAAAACUCUGUUGUUAGAGAAGAACAAGGACGUUAGUAACUGAACGUCCCCUGACGGUAUCUAACCAGAAAGCCACGGCUAACUACGUGCCAGCAGCCGCGGUAAUACGUAGGUGGCAAGCGUUGUCCGGAUUUAUUGGGCGUAAAGCGAGCGCAGGCGGUUUCUUAAGUCUGAUGUGAAAGCCCCCGGCUCAACCGGGGAGGGUCAUUGGAAUCUGGGAGACUUGAGUGCAGAAGAGGAGGGUGGAAUUCCAUGUGUAGCGGUGAAAUGCGUAGAUAUAUGGAGGAACACCAGUGGCGAAGGCGGCUCUCUGGUCUGUAACUGACGCUGAGGCUCGAAAGCGUGGGGAGCAAACAGG